UACGAAGGGGGCUAGCGUUGCUCGGAAUGACUGGGCGUAAAGGGCGCGUAGGCGGCGUGUCAAGUCAAUUGUGAAAUCUCCGAGCUUAACUCGGAACGGUCAAUUGAUACUGAUGUGCUAGAGUGCAGAAGGGGCAAUCGGAAUUCUUGGUGUAGCGGUGAAAUGCGUAGAUAUCAAGAGGAACACCUGAGGUGAAGACGGGUUGCUGGGCUGACACUGACGCUGAGGCGCGAAAGCUAGGGUAGCAAACGGG
rnacentral:rRNA from 1 species